rnacentral:rRNA from 1 species
GCGAGUGAAGCGACAAAAGCUCAAAUUUGAAAUCUGGCACCUUCGGUGUCCGAGUUGUAAUUUGAAGAAGGUAACUUUGGAGUUGGCUCUUGUCUAUGUUCCUUGGAACAGGACGUCACAGAGGGUGAGAAUCCCGUGCGAUGAGAUGUCCAACUCUAUGUAAAGUGCUUUCGAAGAGUCGAGUUGUUUGGGAAUGCAGCUCUAAGUGGGUGGUAAAUUCCAUCUAAAGCUAAAUAUUGGCGAGAGACCGAUAGCGAACAAGUACAGUGAUGGAAAGAUGAAAAGAACUUUGAAAAGAGAGUGAAAAAGUACGUGAAAUUGUUGAAAGGGAAGGGUUUGAGAUCAGACUUGGUAUUUUGUAUGUCUUGCUUUCGGGUGGGGCCUCUGCAGUUUACUGGGCCAGCAUCGGUUUGGACGGUAGGAUAAUGACAUUGGAAUGUGGCACUACUUCGGUGGUGUGUUAUAGACUUUGUUGAUACUGCCUGUCUAGACCGAGGACUGCGUCUUUGACUAGGAUGCUGGCAUAAUGAUCCUAAACCG